rnacentral:rRNA from 1 species
CAGAAUCCUUCGGGAGGACGUUUGUGGAACGAGCGGCGGACGGGUGAGUAACACGUGGGCAACCUACCUGUAAGACUGGGAUAACACCGGGAAACCGGUGCUAAUACCGGAUAGAGUUUCCUCUCGCAUGAGAGGAAACGGAAAGGCGGCUUCGGCUGUCACUUACAGAUGGGCCCGCGGCGCAUUAGCUAGUUGGUGGGGUAAUGGCUCACCAAGGCAACGAUGCGUAGCCGACCUGAGAGGGUGAUCGGCCACACUGGGACUGAGACACGGCCCAGACUCCUACGGGAGGCAGCAGUAGGGAAUCUUCCGCAAUGGACGAAAGUCUGACGGAGCAACGCCGCGUGAACGAAGAAGGUUUUCGGAUCGUAAAGUUCUGUUGUUAGGGAAGAACAAGUACCGUUUGAAUAAGGCGGUACCUUGACGGUACCUAUCGAGGAAGCCCCGGCUAACUACGUGCCAGCAGCCGCGGUAAUACGUAGGGGGCAAGCGUUGUCCGGAAUUAUUGGGCGUAAAGCGCGCGUAGGCGGUUUCUUAAGUCUGAUGUGAAAUCUUGCGGCUCAACCGCAAGCGGUCAUUGGAAACUGGGGAACUUGAGUG